AUUGAACGCUGGCGGCAGGCCUAACACAUGCAAGUCGAACGGUAACAGGAAGAAGCUUGCUUCUUUGCUGACGAGUGGCGGACGGGUGAGUAAUGUCUGGGAAACUGCCUGAUGGAGGGGGAUAACUACUGGAAACGGUAGCUAAUACCGCAUAACGUCGCAAGACCAAAGAGGGGGACCUUCGGGCCUCUUGCCAUCGGAUGUGCCCAGAUGGGAUUAGCUAGUAGGUGGGGUAACGGCUCACCUAGGCGACGCUCCCUAGCUGGUCUGAGAGGAUGACCAGCCACACUGGAACUGAGACACGGUCCAGACCCCUACGGGAGGCAGCAGUGGGGAAUAUUGCACAAGGGGCGCAAGCCUGAGGCAGCCAUGCCGGGUGUAAGAAGAAGGCCUUCGGGUUGUAAAGUACUUUCCGCGGGGGGGAAGGGAGUAAAGUUAAAACCUGUACUCAUUGACGUUACCCGGAAAAGAAGCAGCGGCAAACCCCGG
rnacentral:rRNA from 1 species